AUACAACAGGUGUAGUAGACCUUACAGUGAAAUGCUGAAUACAACAGGUGUAGUAGACCUCACAGUGAAAUGCUGAAUACAACAGGUGUAGUAGACCUUACAGUGAAAUGCUGAAUACAACAGGUGUAGUAGACCUCACAGUGAAAUGCCGAAUACAACAGGUGUAGUAGACCUCACAGUGAAAUGCUGAAUACAACAGGUGUAGUAGACCUUACAGUGAAAUGCUGAAUACAACAGGUGUAGUAGACCUUACAGUGAAAUGCUGAAUACAACAGGUGUAGUAGACCUCACAGUGAAAUGCCGAAUACAACAGGUGUAGUAGACCUCACAGUGAAAUGCUGAAUACAACAGGUGUAGUAGACCUCACAGUGAAAUGCUGAAUACAACAGGUGUAGUAGACCUCACAGUGAAAUGCUGAAUACAACAGGUGUAGUAGACCUUACAGUGAAAUGCUGAAUACAACAGGUGUAGUAGACCUCACAGUGAAAUGCCGAAUACAACAGGUGUAGUAGACCUCACAGUGAAAUGCUGAAUACAACAGGUGUAGUAGACCUUACAGUGAAAUGCUGAAUACAACAGGUGUAGUAGACCUUACAGUGAAAUGCUGAAUACAACAGGUGUAGUAGACCUCACAGUGAAAUGCCGAAUACAACAGGUGUAGUAGACCUUACAGUGAAAUGCUGAAUACAACAGGUGUAGUAGACCUUACAGUGAAAUGCUGAAUACAACAGGUGUAGUAGACCUUACAGUGAAAUGCUGAAUACAACAGGUGUAGUAGACCUCACAGUGAAAUGCCGAAUACAACAGGUGUAGUAGACCUUACAGUGAAAUGCUGAAUACAACAGGUGUAGUAGACCUUACAGUGAAAUGCUGAAUACAACAGGUGUAGUAGACCUCACAGUGAAAUGCCGAAUACAACAGGUGUAGUAGACCUUACAGUGAAAUGCUGAAUACAACAGGUGUAGUAGACCUUACAGUGAAAUGCUGAAUACAACAGGUGUAGUAAGACCUCACAGUGAAAUGCUGAAUACAACAGGUGUAGU